UACGUAGGGUGCAAGCGUUAAUCGGAAUUACUGGGCGUAAAGCGUGCGCAGGCGGUGAUGUAAGACAGAUGUGAAAUCCCCGGGCUCAACCUGGGAACUGCAUUUGUGACUGCAUGGCUAGAGUACGGCAGAGGGGGAUGGAAUUCCGCGUGUAGCAGUGAAAUGCGUAGAUAUGCGGAGGAACACCGAUGGCGAAGGCAGCUUGCUGGCAUGUUUCUGACGCUAAGGCACGAAAGCGUGGGGAGCGAACAGG
rnacentral:rRNA from 1 species